UUAAAUAUUUCUUUGAUUUUUCUUUUCCUUCGUUUCUUACCCAUGCCCUAGCUUCCUUCUUCGCCCGAUCCCCUUCCUCUCCGCCGCCCCUCUCGCGCGAUGCCAAGCCGCUGACUUGCCUCUUCCCCGAUCUCUUCGUUUUCCCUCUUCCUUAUCUUCUCCUUCUUCGAUCCUUUUCCUCAUCUCACCGCCGACUGUCAUAGCCCGAUGCCGGGCGUCAAUCGCCGUGUCGCUCCAACUUGUGAGACGCCGGAGCUGCCAGCAAUCGACGUCAUCGACCAGGAGGGAUCUAUUGUCCCUGAGUCUCUCCCUCUCACGCGAAUAUGCUGCAUCAUCCCAACUGAUCAUAGCCACCACUCAAUCGCCGACGCCGAGCUACCUUUCUCCUCUGCUCAUCCCUGGAGGCUGUUGGGUCGUCUUCCUCCCCGGGUCGUCACUCCACACGAGCAGAUCUUCAGCCAAGGAAGGGGAAGGCCGAGCCCAAGCAUCGACCUCCCCUUGCCUGCAUUCUCUUUUGCCCGAUUGUUGCUGCUCGAUCGCUGCCACCUGAUCACUGCCACCUCAAUGUCGCCACUUCGUGUGAGGCCAGCACGAUGACGCCGAUGCCAUCAGCCAUCACGAGAGGCCAAUAGCUAGAUCUGACAAUGAUCAAUCCUAAUCAGUGCUACUCCAGCCGCAGGGAACCACCAGAGAGGAAAAAGGGGAUUUGUGUGGAGAUCCACGGCUGCACUGGAGCUUCGGCCAUGAAUACCAAGUAGCAAGCUCCUCUGGCUGAGUCAACAUUGAAGUCUUUGGAUUUGGGAACACUUGUCAAAAGAUGAUGCUAAACAGCAGUUCUUUAGAAUCUUGAGAACUCCUCCUUAUGGGAAUUCUGUUUUCUUCAGUGUAUGGAAGAUAGAUGAUCCUAUAGGUCUGUUACCUGGAUGAAUCAUUUUAGAAAUUAAUAAGUGAGGGGUUAGUUAAAACAUAUUGUGGGUUAUGUUUCUCCUUUUUUGGGCAGAAGUCAUAUCUUUAUGAGGGGAAGAAGAAAGACCCUUAAAACAGAGAAUACCAAUGAAGAGGAUAAGGCAGAAUCUAAUUGUUGUAACAAUGUUGAGAGGUUUGGAUUUGUACCUGGUCCAGAUUUCACUCUGGAAUCUUUUGAGACAUAUGCAGAUGAGUUCAAGAGACAAUAUUUUAGCAGAAGUGCAGAAUUUGUUUUAGGGUCCUGCCAGCAGGAACCUUCCGAUGAUGAUAUUGAAGGUGAAUAUUGGCGGAUAGUGGAAAGACCAAUAGAAGAGAUUGAGGUGUCACCACAUUUCCUAUGCAGACAUAUAUAAUCAUUAUACAUUUUCAUCUGUUGAUUUAUUUCACAAUUUGGCUUCACAACUUUGAUGUGUUCUAUCCACUUUCUUCUUUCCUUGAACCUUUGUUGUUUCCAUACCUUAAUAUUAGAAACUUUAUUCAUAUAUUGGUUUCGACUAGAACCUGCAGCCAGGUAGAACUCUAACUCAUAUGUUGACUUUGGUUGUUUAGGUUCUUUAUGGUGCUGAUUUUGACACUGGAAUUUUUAGUAGUGGCUUUCUCAAAGAGUAAUCCUUUGCGAAGGUAUGAGCACUAGGGGAUCAGUAUAUGAGUUCUGGAUGGAAUUUAAAUAACAUCAUGACAUACUAUUAUUUCCUAAUAAAAACUGUGUACUAGUCUAUUAUGUCACAAGAUUGUGUUUACAUCAUUUAAUAAGUAUCAAAUGACAAGUCAUAUUUAUUCUUUUCCCUUUUAACAAAAAAAAAAAUGUAUUUGUAUAUAGAACAGCAUCUCUUUUCCCUUUUAACCAAGUCACGCCAUAUGCAUCUUGCACAUGGUGCAUGGAUGUGAGUGUGCAUGAGUUUGUGUUAGCCAACAAACACUUGGGCGGCCGGGGUGUGCACAUUACCGGUUUGUACGUAAGUAGCAUAACCAAUUCUUCAUGUAUAUGAUAAGUUUAGUUCUAUCAUGCUUGUAUGAAUUGAUCAAAUCUGUUGUUUAUAAAUACAAAAGUUUCCAGUUCCGAAAGUAUUCUUCUUCUAUAUGUUCUGACAGUGUUAUUCUUCUUUAUGUCCCAAUUAGAAACUCUUCGUAUUCAUUUACUAGAGGCCUUUUGGAAAUUCAUAAUUCGUUAUGUUUUACAUUGUUGAAUGUAUCUAUUUUAAACAGGUUGGUUGUCGGAUAUUGGGCGGGUUGGCACAUUUUGUUCACUGUUGGUGACAAUAUUUUUUCAAAGAGGCUUGCUGUUGCUUCAAUCAGGUUGUUGAUCUCCUAGUGCCUUAUCAAAGGGGUUGAAAGAUUAGACUUUUUGUUGGAGCUGGUGUGGGGAAGACUGGAUUUAUUAUGGAACUGAUGAUCAAUAAUAU